CUUGUAUGGAUUGUUGCUUUGUGUAUUCCAACAAUUCUGUAUGUUUACUAUGGCACACUUUUAGUCUUCAUCGAGUUCAAUAUGUUGAUUUUAUCUCUACCUUUGUGUAUUUCUCUCCUCAGGUCAACAUCCUGUCCUCCACUUUUGGAGUUGGUUACUGUUGACUUGCCCUUUAUUCCCCAAAUUCAUGCCUUUUAAUAUGGUUUCAGGACUGGUACGGUUGAUGCAGCCCUUUCUGAGAAUUACACUUGUUCUAUGCUUUUCUAUAACAGCCUCUAUCUCUUGCUCUACAUUUUUUUUCACUGCAAACAGUGACUGUGGCUUAAAGAAGCAAGGUGUGGCAUUACCAGCUGCCAACACACAUUUGAAUAACUUCUGAAAUGCCAGACUUGACAUUGUGAUGUAUCUACAGACAGAUGAUUGAUUGAUAAUUUUAGGGGCGCAACUACCCACUUUCUGGGGGGUAUGCAGACACUUAGCAGGCAAAAUAAUGUGUGAUUUGAACAUGUUAAAUAAGCAAUUUUGGUGAACUCUGGUGAAGAGAAUUAAAGACAAAGAAAACUUUUAUUUCAGUUCAAAUAAAUAGUAAAAUGAGCCAAACAAGUUAGUCAGCCAACAUUUUUGACAUUACCCAUACGACGUGUGUAGGUAUUUACUAAGAAAAACGUUAAAAAGAAAAGCUCAGAAAAACGGUAAAUGGGAAAAAACAGCUUGUUGAUCAAACUUUUUUUUCAAGUGAAGGAGAGAGAAAGGCCUUAAAUAAGAUAGAAAAUAACUUAGAGCCUCAAAUCGAUCGCACCAAAUUCCCUUACAAUAAACUAUUAAGAUUGUGGCAAACAGGAUUUUCAUUAUAAUUGCUAAAAAACCAUCCAUCAAACAUCUCUCGCUCUCUCUCACUCUCACUUUCACUCUCUCACUCACAACACAGUCGUGCGCUGGAAUGGUGCAAAAUAUGAUAAUAGUUGGAAACAGGUGAGUUUGUUGUUUGGGCGCUGACCUGCUAUCACUACACUACCAUUCAAAAACGGUGAAAACAGCAAUAGUCAAAAACUUGAGGUCCCUGUCAUCAGAUGACAACACGAUUCAAAUGAAAGGUCUCGCGCUCCAGCGCGUGCUAGAGGGGGCGCGCACUGGAGCGCUUAUAGUGUGGGGAGGAGGAGGCGAAGGAGCGGGGGCGCCUAUCAGUGACGUGCCUCUGUUACUGAUCAUAUCAUUUACGCAAACGCUGUUAAAUACAGAAAAAAGUUUGCGCCACUGCUGAACAUUUUGAUGGUUGAAUGGUUUCUGUAGCGCAAAAUUUGAAUGAGUUGAAAGGUGCUGAAAAACGUACGGAAGAAGAUAAAUAAUAACUUUAAUAAAUUCCAGAAGAACAAUAGUGUGAAUGCUGUGUCAGCAUUCACACUAAUAAAUAAGCACAGUGAACAUUGGGGUAUUUUCCAGGAGCAAAAUAUCUGCUUCUGAAACAGGGGCCUUGUUGCCCUGAGGAGAAAUCGUUUGUUCUUGCGCUGGUUUUGCGUCUCCAAUCUAUUUUAAAUAUACGGAGGUCAAAAGGUCAAAUUGGCGUCUUUCCAGGGCAGUGAUUGGCUUUCACAUUAUGUCAAUCACUUUCUUUCUACAACGGUCUGGUGGUAAUUGCAGUGUCGCACUUGAGCGAAUAUUUUCACUGUCAAGUUCGUUAAUUUACUGAAGACAAAGAAAUGUGUGCCCAACUUCAACGAAAGGAUGAGUAAUCCAAGUGACAGGUAAGAUGCUAAUUACCCUAAAGUCUUGAAUGUGUGUGUGCGUGUGUUUAUGUAUGGAGGGAGGGGGAGGGGGAGAGAGACCGGCCUCUGUAUGUAGGCCUAUUACUGUGUUGUAACACCGGUAUGAGUGUAGUGUAUACAGUGUCAGUGAAACAAAAUUGGUCGCAAGGCGUUCUAUGGGCUGCCAUCCACUCCAAUGGCAGCAUAAUAAUAAUAAUAAAAAUAAUAAGAGGUCGUACGAAAACAAUAGGUUUUCACGCAGCUUAGCUGCUUGACCCCCAAUAACAGAAAGUGAGCGCACCAGUAUCUCCACUAUAAACUCUAUACAAUUUUAGGCAGAAUCUGUUCCAAUAAAUAUAUGUAGCCCCAACUUAAACUAAGUAAAUCCAUUCAGUAUAAUGCAAUUGAGUUAGUCCAAGUAAUUAUUGUAAAAUAAAUAUAGCUAUUCAAUAUGAUGUAAUUUAGUUAGUUCAACUAAUUAUUAUCAAAUAACUAGAGCUAUCCAAUAUAAUGUUUAAAAAAACAAACGUUUUUUAAAUCCAAUUAUUAUAUUUUAUACAAAUAUAACCACUCUAAGAAGGGCUUGAAUCGUAUAUAACUAUAUAUGUAUUUGUUCCAGAUCCUGCACCUUCACCACAUUUGGAAAGACACGGAGAACUUCCAAAAGCCUGGAACAAAUACUGAAAAGUAUUGAAGAAUUGGCACAACCUGGGACCAAUAUAAAGGGUUGCAGUUAUUACAAUGCUGAUGGCCUUUGGGGAGAUGUCUGCAAAAGCCUGGAAGUGCCCAAUACAUCAGUGAAUCGGCAAAAACUUUAUAAGGCCGCUGCUCAUCUUUGGAAGGACAUCUCAGGGAUAAAGAGCAACUUAAAAGUGACAGAUGCUGAUGCUGAGGAGAGGGAACACAUCGCCUCUUCGGAUGACAAUGAUGUUGGAGACACUCAUCUGUCUCCACCUUUGGAAAAAGAGGAUGAAUGUUCAUCUUCAUUUGAAAAGGAUAAUGAAAAGGAAUCCAACCUGGCUGAAUCUGCUUACAUGUCAACAGAGAGCAGUGAGGCAGAGGAGACAAUUUUCUCAUGCUGUGUGCCACAGCAGCCAUGUUUCUUUUUUCUUGACAAAAAGGAAUGGCAAGACCUGAGGGAAUCUCAGAGAGGAAAUUGUUUUCAAGGGUUACAGUGGACAAAUGUGAUAGCAAGUGGAAUAAGGUCACUUCACCCAUACUGCAGCUUUGGUUUUAGACGUCACGCAUUAAAAACCCUGCGGUCACAAAGAAGCGCACCCAUCUUCAAAUGUAAUGGAUACUGUCGGUUUGAAGAUUGCCCCAUUGCUGUUACUGUCGAAGUCAGAGAUGAGGUCACCCUGAAGGCAGAUGUGGUAUUCACAGGAGGAGAUAAGGUGUGCCACAGUACCACUGAACUCAAAAGAAGGCCAGUCCGUGCAGAUGCACGUUCAUCAGUUGCAGAAACCCUUGAAACGAAGUUACCAAGAAGCCUUUUUUUGGACUCUAUGCAGAAAAUUCCUGAGAUGGUGAUAGAAUCAGGCUGCAGGGACGAAGCACCGACAAAAGAGGUUCUAAGGAACAUCGCAUACACCCAAAGACAACUUAAAAGACCUCACACCAACGAACUUUUAAGUCUCCAAAUGCAAAUUGACCAAAAAACAGGAACAGACAAUGAAGUCCUGCAGAGGGUUAUGAUGCACCCAAAAGGAAUAAUGCUGUGGUCAAAAAAGACACUGUCCAUUUUUUACCAAAGAUGCAAGGAAGACAUUGUGUAUCUGGAUGCAACAGGAAGUAUAGUUCAGAAAGAAAGUGGCAAAAGUCCACCAUACUACGUGUAUGAAUUAGUUGUGCGGAAUCCUUCCAAGGGGGCAUCUCCUCUUCCUGUUGCAACCUACCUGACUUGUGACCACACCACAGCAUCUGUCACCUACUUUCUGCGGAAGUUGUAUGGGAAAAGGGCAGUGCAGAGGCCAGUGAUGAUCAUUUGUGAUGGCUCUUUAGUGCUUCUGCAGUCCAUUUCUUUUACAUUCUGCAGACUAAGCCUAGAGGAUCUUCUGCAGAAGUACUUUGAAGUCAUCACUGACCAACAUCAAGCAGAAAGGGGAUAUUGGCCGUCAUGGUACAGGCCCAGCAUACCAGCAUUUCAGCAAGAUCCACAAAGAAGUCAGUCAGUCCAAUAAACAGAACUUUACACAAGACAACCGGACACAGGGCAUUAUGGAAAAAAGUCAGUGGGACCUCAAGAGAAUACGAUUCCAGAGAAGGCGACUCACACGACUUGAUGAUUUUGUGCAGACAUACCAAAAAACUCAUGAUGCACUGAUCAUUGAAUACCAAGACAGAGAAAGAACCAGAAAGAAAUCUUUUCGAGUGGAAAUGGAGCAGUGGAAGAAGAAAAGUCAGGGGCGUAAAGGAGUAUACGUCUCCCGACUAGUGAAGAGUCUCCCAUUCAAAGAAAUCAGAAGCAAGAAGUCUCCAAAGGCAGCCACCAAUGAACCCAAAGAAAAACCCGAAGCUGUGAUCUCAACACAGGAUGAUUUGGAAGCUGCAGACACUGCAGCGGAAAAGGCAACCACAGCCAUCGUACACCCUCAGAAAGCAGCAGUGCAGCAUAUAAGAAGGAGAAAAUCCAAUGUUGAAGGGCCUAUUUGGAAAAACUACAGUGCUACGGGAAAAACUGUUACAAGAAGGCUCUCCCGACCAGCUAAGAUAAAUACUCUGCAAGAAAUCCUUCACCAUGACUACUGGUUGACCAGUGAUGCCAUGGAUCAAGCCAGCUACCUCAUGGCCAAGGAUCAUGACCACAUUGACGGAUUUCAAUCGGUUUUACCGUUUAGCGCAAUUGCACAAGGAGGGAUUGUGGGGACUCCUGAAAAGAAAUUUGUUCAGAUGUUGAACAUCAGACAGAGCCACUGGAUAACAGUCAGCAAUUUGUUUUGCAAUGACACUCAACUCGCCGUUUAUGACAGCCUACGUAGCCCUCUGGACCCAAGAACACUGCAGGCACUGUCCUGGCUGCUAAGGCCACAGUCUGACACUUUGGAAGUUUUGCAACCAGCAGUGCAGCAGCAAGCAAAUUUGAGUAACUGUGGGGUGUUUGCAAUAGCCUUUGCAUAUGCAUUAUGCAAGGGUCAUCAACCAGAACAGUGCAUAUUCAAUGAAGGCAGGAUGAGGGCACAGCUGUACAAGUCAUUCACAAGGAACAACAUCACAUUUCGAAUGAAUGUUGAAGACAGAGAAGCUCAGUCAAACAUCACAACAACUACAGUACCAGUAUACUGUGUUUGCAGAACAGCUCAUUACAAAGAGAUGAUGGUGCAGUGUUCACUGUGCAAAGAGUGGUAUCAUCCCACAUGCGUCAACAUUCCGAGAGCUGUGAUCGGGAAUGAUGACAUCUGGCAGUGUUCCAAAUGUGAACAAGCCAAUAGCACUUGAGGUGGAACAUUUUAUUCACAUAGACCACGUUGGUGGAGCACAAAGUUCUCAAAAAUCGUACAAUUCCUAUUUUCUUUUUUUUUAAGGUUAUUUUUUUGUCAUUUUCAAGCCUCAAAGAGCUGAAAUGGGGAGAAAGAGAGAGAGGUGGGAUGACCCGCAGCAAAGGUCCACGGGCCGGACCCGAACCCGCGACCACUGCAACGAAAGCCGGAGCCAACACGGCACAUGCUCCACCCACCAUGCCACCGGAGCGCCCCACAAUUCCAAUUUUCAAAGAUUAUUUAUCACAUUUGUGUCUAUGUUCAGAGUUUGUACUAUUAGAAAUUUAUUUAUGUUUAAACCAACAGGAAAAAAAACAUUUGCAGGUUUCCGUUUUGUAUUUAAAGUCGACACUUUGACAGUUAAUGUAAAAAUGGCAAUUCUUGUAUUUAUUUGAUACUAUUUUAGUUGGCCUAUGACAUUUUUCAGAAAUAUAGUUAUGUACAUUUUAUUUGAAAGUUGGAUUGUUACUAAAGACUUUAUUGGGGUUUUCAAUAAAGAAAACAAAUGAGCAAACCUCUGUCUUACAUCAUGAGGACAGUAUCCAGCCAAUAUGCACAUUGAGAGUGGGAGGGAUUUUGAGUUGAAUUUAUUGUAAAACCGUACAGUAAAAUGUCUUGAUAUGUUCUAUAGUGAUAGUCAGGAUCACUGUGAACAAGAAUCCAUUGAGAAUAUCAGCAAACCUAUUAAGGAAUAAUUUAAAUACAUUUUUGAAAUUGAGGAAAUUAUC
ensembl:lncRNA